UGCAGCAGAAGCGCCUGGCUGCUGCUCUACAUGGAUAGAUUGAACCAGGUGGGGAAAACCAUGUCCUGUCCCCCUCCCGUGGAAUGAGGAGAUGAUGAUCAUCCCUGGAGGAAUCGCCUGAUCCCCUGUGAGCCCUGGGCCUUUUUCCUCAAAUGGCCAAUAAACCCCUUCAGCAAAU